CAGUGCUGUCCAUCCUGCUGGCCACAUUAACCGUGUUUCCCCAGAUGUCAUACUGAGGUUUGUGAGCGCCGAUGACGCCUGCGAUCAGAGGACCGUGGUUUAUACCUGAACAACACAGAACAGCCAGCACAAAAUGUCAGUGUUGUACCGAUCCUCAGUUUGAAGCUGUUGAACGAGUGCAUGUUGAUGUUUUCCAGUCUCCCCAUCAGAGCGAUGGCGAAGUCCAGCAUGCUGCGGAUGUGACUGAUUGGUCAGUCCAGCCACCGCCAUGUAGGUGCUGCCGAUGGUCUUGAUCUUUUCCACAGCGCUGAACUUUGGCUUGUUGAGGAGCUGUAGGAGAGGAUUACGAGGUUAAAGAGACCACAGACAGACAGAUAAACAGACAUCGGACGGACAUCCACCUCGUCA